rnacentral:rRNA from 1 species
AAUCAACGCUGGCGGCGUGCCUAACACAUGCAAGUCGAACGGGAAAACGGGGGCAACUCCGUGAGUAUAGUGGCGUACGGGUGAGUAACACGUGACUACCUACCUUUGAGUGGGGGAUAACCCCGGGAACCGGGGCUAAUACCGCAUAACAUCGCAAGAUCAAAGAAGCAAUUCGACUUAAAGAGGGGGGUCGCGGCUGGAUUAGCUAGUUGGUAGGGUAAUGGCCUACCAAGGCGAUGAUCGGUAGCCGGCCNGGAGAGGGCGCACGGCCACACUGGAACUGAAACACGGUCCAGACUCCUACGGGAGGCAGCAGUAGGGAAUUUUGCGCAAUGGGGGAAACCCUGACGCAGCAACGCCGCGUGGAGGAUGAAGUCCCUUGGGACGUAAACUCCUUUCGACCGGGACGAUUAUGACGGUACCGGUGGAAGAAGCCCCGGCUAACUUCGUGCCAGCAGCCGCGGUAAC